rnacentral:rRNA from 1 species
GCACCGGCUAACUCCCUGCCAGCAGCCGCGGUAAUACGGGGGGAGCAGGCGAAUGUUCGGAUUUACUGGGCGUAAAGGGCGCGUAGGCAGCCACCGCAAGUCAAUUGUGAAAUCUCCCCGCUUAACUCGGAAAGGUCAACUGAUACUGCGGGGCUAGAGUGCAGAAGGGGCAACUGGAAUUCUUGGUGUAGCGGUGAAAUGCGUAGAUAUCAAGAGGAACACCUGCGGCGAAGGCGGGUUGCUGGGCCGACACUGACGCUGAGGCGCGAAAGCUAGGGGAGCGAACGGGAUUAGAUACCCCGGUAGUUUUUGCCUUAAACGAUGAAUGCUUGGUGUCUGGGGUUAUAAAGUCCCCGGGUGCCGUCGCUAACGCUUUAAGCAUUCCGCCUGGGGAGUACGGUCGCAAGACUGAAACUCAAAGGAAUUCGAUGGA